UACAGAGGGGGCAAGCGUUGUUCGGAAUUACUGGGCGUAAAGCGUGUGUAGGCGGUCCGCUAAGUCGGGUGUGAAAGCCCUGGGCUCAACCCAGGAAGUGCACUCGAAACUGGCGGGCUAGAGUAUCGGAGAGGUUGGUGGAAUUCUCGGUGUAGAGGUGAAAUUCGUAGAUAUCGAGAGGAACACCGGUGGCGAAGGCGGCCAACUGGACGAAUACUGACGCUGAGACACGAAAGCGUGGGGAGCAAACAGG
rnacentral:rRNA from 1 species